GGGGUCGUUACGGAUUCGACAGGCAUUAUGAGGCAUAUUUUGCGACUCGUGUGGCGACGUAAACGCUCAGUUAAAUAUAACUGCAAAAAAUACAAACUCUUACGCUUUAGCUGCCUAAAAAACAGCGAGCGUGACUUUUGCUGAAUUGCUUGUGUUUAGUUAGAAGUCUUAUUAUUAGCAAGCUACGUUUGAUUAUUGUCUAGCUAAUCAAAAAGAGAUUCAUAGGCUCGCUUUAGCAAGGCUUGAGUUAUGUGUCGUGCUAAAGUUAAAUCAAAUACAUAACCUAUGGUUGUAGACAAAUAUGUUGGCAGGUGUUUGGACGUGGGUUCGACUCCCACCGGCUCCAUUG
rnacentral:tmRNA from 1 species